GAUGAACGCUGGCGGCGUGCCUAAUACAUGCAAGUCGAGCGAACAGAUAAGGAGCUUGCUCCUUUGACGUUAGCGGCGGACGGGUGAGUAACACGUGGGUAACCUACCUAUAAGACUGGAAUAACUCCGGGAAACCGGGGCUAAUGCCGGAUAACAUUUAGAACCGCAUGGUUCUAAAGUGAAAGAUGGUUUUGCUAUCACUUAUAGAUGGACCCGCGCCGUAUUAGCUAGUUGGUAAGGUAACGGCUUACCAAGGCAACGAUACGUAGCCGACCUGAGAGGGUGAUCGGCCACACUGGAACUGAGACACGGUCCAGACUCCUACGGGAGGCAGCAGUAGGGAAUCUUCCGCAAUGGGCGAAAGCCUGACGGAGCAAUGCCGCGUGAGUGAUGAAGGUCUUCGGAUCGUAAAACUCUUUUAUUAGGGAAGAACAAAUGUGUAAGUAACUGUGCACGUCUUGACGGUACCUAAUCAGAAAGCCACGGCUAACUACGUG
rnacentral:rRNA from 1 species